AUUGAACGCUGGCGGCAGGCCUAACGCAUGCAAGUCGAGCGGAUGAAGGGAGCUUGCUCCUGGAUUCAGCGGCGGACGGGUGAGUAAUGCCUAGGAAUCUGCCUGGUAGUGGGGGAUAACGUCCGGAAACGGGCGCUAAUACCGCAUACGUCCUGAGGGAGAAAGUGGGGGAUCUUCGGACCUCACGCUAUCAGAUGAGCCUAGGUCGGAUUAGCUAGUUGGUGGGGUAAAGGCCUACCAAGGCGACGAUCCGUAACUGGUCUGAGAGGAUGAUCAGUCACACUGGAACUGAGACACGGUCCAGACUCCUACGGGAGGCAGCAGUGGGGAAUAUUGGACAAUGGGCGAAAGCCUGAUCCAGUCAUGCCGCGUGUGUGAAGAAGGUCUUCGGAUUGUAAAGCACUUUAAGUUGGGAGGAAGGGCAGUAAGUUAAUACCUUGCUGUUUUGACGUUACCAACAGAAUAAGCACCGGCUAACUUCGUG
rnacentral:rRNA from 1 species